rnacentral:rRNA from 1 species
CAUGUCCUACGGGGGGCAGCAGUGGGGAAUAUUGCACAAUGGGGGAAACCCUGAUGCAGCGACGCCGCGUGAGUGAAGAAGUAAUUCGUUAUGUAAAGCUCUAUCAGCAGGGAAGAAAAUGACGGUACCUGAGUAAGAAGCCCCGGCUAACUACGUGCCAGCAGCCGCGGUAAUACGUAGGGGGCAAGCGUUAUCCGGAUUUAUUGGGCGUAAAGAGUUCGUAGGCGGUUUGUUAAGUCUAAAAUUCAAGCCCGAGGCUUAACCUCGGUUCGUUUUAGAAACUGGCAAACUUGAGUGUGGUAGAG